UCGUGCUAGACGGGGAGCUAGCGGUGCCCUGUACCCGCAAUCCGCUACAGCGGGGUUGAAUUCCCCCUCGAGGCUCUUUUUUCCGCAGGACUGCUGCCCGCUAUCAGUGUUGAGGGUUGGGUCUUGCGCAGCGGAACCCUAUGAACCCCGUCAGGUCCGGAAGGAAGCAGCGGUAAGUAGUGGCGUCCGGGUGCCGCAAGGGCGCCUGGCCUGAGCUGUUGGCUUACGGCAAGCUGCGGAAUGGGGUCGACAGUGGGUGCACGA
rnacentral:SRP_RNA from 1 species